rnacentral:lncRNA from 13 species
CUUUGGGGGGGGUCUCAAGACUUUUCAAACAUCCAGAGAAGCUAUAUAUGCAUAACAGUGUAAUGUCUCAUUUACUAAAAUUAUUUGCAUUAUGAAUGAUGUUGUUUAGUGAGUGGACAGUAUUAACAACAUUUUAAUAUUAUGUAAAAAUCCUUUUUCUACAGGGCAAAAGAUGAAGAAGAGUCUGUGGCUCAUGCAACCUUCCUGAAAAUCGAUUAUGUGAAGUAUCCACAGAGGGGGAAUGUGUCAAGGGUCUUUGGAUUGAGCUGGAAUGAUGGGAAACACUUGAGUACUAUUGUGGCUGAUUAAUUUGGCCCCUGGGGACCAUGAUGCUUUGUGAGCAGAGAAAUGGGUGCUUCUGUGUUACAGUUCAACAGCUCUAGUUGGAGGUGAGCUGUAUAAAUAGAGAGGGUAAGUCAUGUGUGAGUCACCAGAUACCAUGCCUGCCAAGCAUAAACAUAAGCAGCAGUUUAAUCCUUAUUUGAGUAAUCUGAGCUGAGGAGAUAGCCAAACUGUGUGAUUACUCUUCCCAACUAGAAUUUUGUUUCAGAUGUAAAGAUAUUUUAGAUUGAAUGCUACCUAUGAUGAGAAAUCAUUGCAGAUUUUUUGCAGA